UACCUUACCUUUUCUAUUUCAAAUCUCAAUGUUUAGGGCUUUUAGCGUUGUAGAUUUGGGGCUACACUCCCUUACUCGGAGACAUUAGAAGUUUCCAUCAAUGGGUGAUUCGGACGAAAAUCUUCUUGCUCUAACCCCGUUACCUGAAACCCUAGAAUCGAAUGAAAAGAUCAACACCGAUUCGGUGGAUGCUACAGUAGCUGAUAUUCCGAAAGCCUUAAAGCCUCUUCCUCCGCCCCUGGUUACAGAGAACGGCCUCACUCACAGUGGUACGAGUACUGGUACUGAUAGGGAUUGCUCUGGUGGUGAAGAAGAGUCUCUUAUUCUUGGGAUUAGUAAAUGUGAUCAAACUCUGGAGGACAAGCGACUCUGUCUUAAUAAUCAAGGUGCAGCAGAAGAAAUUAAUAGAUUUUGCCUGAUUCCAGAAUAUGUUGUUGAGCAAAUUUUGUUGAGUUUGGAUGCUGACUCUUUAAGAGAUUGUAAGCGCGUUUGUAAGCCCUGGUUUCAUCUGAUUAGUGACCCCUCAUUCAUAAACAAACACCUUGACCUUGUUUGUAAUCGCAAAAAUGCCAAGAUGAUCUCCUUUAUUGGGUACGAUAUUAUUUCAACAGUUACUGUUUGUGAGGGCAAUGAUGGUAACACCGUCGACAACGAUGACUACUUUUGUUGUGUUAUUGAACACGUGAAUAUUCUUCUGAAAGUAAAGAAAUGUGAGAACUUACCUCGGUUUAUAGGACUCUCCCAUUGUAAUGGCAUCAUUCACGUGUUUGAUCGUAGCAAAAAUACAUCAUCUAUUUUGUAUAACCCAACACUAAGAGAGUUCAAGUUACUUCGGGGACCCGCCUUUCCCUUGAAAAAGUUAUUGGGAUGUGGUUUUGGGUAUGAUACCAAAUCUAAUGUUUACAAGUAUGUUAAGAUUUUUUAUAAUAAAGAUUGUGGGGACACCGUAGCCAUGGUGCACACUCUAGGAACAAAUUCUUCCUGUUGGAGAGUGAUUAAGUUUGAUGUAGUAGAAGAUAUGAUAGACCACAAUGUCGAGGGAAUGUACUGUAAAGGUGCUUACUAUUGGCUUUAUCAAACAAGAAAUGAGGGUGUGAUUCUUUCUUUUGAUAUGUCUGCUGAGAUAUUUCGUAGAAUACCAAUUCCUUAUUACGUAGUCCAGGAAAAAUGUAAAAGAGAAAGUUUGAUAUUGGGAGAGUGGAACCAAUCAGUUGCCCUUUUCUUUGCCACUGGACUCAACUGGGACUCUUGUUUUUACGAGUUGUGGGUGUUGGUUGAUAGUGUUGAUAAAGGUUUUGCUAGUGCCCAUUGGAUCAAGUGUCUCAAAUUUGGGCCACUUCAACCGCCGUGUAUGCCCUUGGAAUUUUGGAAGGAUGAUGAGCUUUUUUUGUCGACUUAUAUGAAUGGAGUUGUAUCAUACAAUGUUUAUUCUCAACAACUUAGGAAAGUUCAUUUUCGUGGAAAGGUUACUGGCCUCCAAUUUUCUACUCAGUGUUUGAAGACUCUAGUUUCAGUCUAGACAACAAAAAUGUAUUUAUUUUUAUAUUAAUUGUUUGUUACUAUUAUUAUUUUGUGUUCGAGAAUGCUGUAUAUAAAGAAGAGAUGUAUGCAUACCUGGUUUCGUAGCAUUCCUAAUAUAAGUUGGAUUUGGGUCAAUUUCAGGAUUCAACCAAGAGUACUACCUCCAUUUCUAACUCUUCUUCCAGUCAUGAUGAUUCACCAAUUGUUUCCAAUUUUACUGGUAAAGCCUCUCACUCUAACCCUACUCAAUCUUGGAUCAUUGGCACAGAUGCCACGCACCACGUGUAAUGAAUUCUCUCUAUUCACUUAUUUUCAUACAACUACAUCUCAUUUGUCUGUAAGGUGGCGUUUUGGUAAUGGUAGUAGGAAUAGGAAUUAAAUGGUAUUUUCAUUCUUUUGUUUGGUAGACUUUGGAAUCAGUUACUAUAUUUCAUAUAGAAUUAAUAUUA